rnacentral:lncRNA from 1 species
GUCUUCGGCAAUAGUCGGCUUUGGUCUGGAGAUCCACCACAUCUCUGCCUGCUCAGCCCAGGUGUUGUUCAAGGUGAAAGGUGCCUCCAUUUCAUCUCCUGUUCCCUCUCGCCUCUGUUUAAAAAAACAUCCACUAAUCUCAAACCAUGUCUGGAUGCCUGAUAAACUGGCCUGUGGCAAAGACGACCGACUAUUUUUCUGACCUCAUGAUGCAAUCUAUUUGGACCUAAUGAG